CCUACGGGAGGCAGCAGUGAGGAAUAUUGGUCAAUGGGCGGGAGCCUGAACCAGCCAAGUCGCGUGAAGGAAGAAGGUACUUAGUAUUGUAAACUUCUUUUGUCGGGGAACAAAGGCGGAGACGCGUCUCCGGAUGAGUGUACCCGAAGAAAAAGCAUCGGCUAACUCCGUGCCAGCAGCCGCGGUAAUACGGAGGAUCCGAGCGUUAUCCGGAUUUAUUGGGUUUAAAGGGAGCGUAGGUGGAUUGUUAAGUCAGUUGUGAAAGUUUGCGGCUCAACCGUAAAAUUGCAGUUGAAACUGGCAGUCUUGAGUACAGUAGAGGUGGGCGGAAUUCGUGGUGUAGCGGUGAAAUGCUUAGAUAUCACGAAGAACUCCGAUUGCGAAGGCAGUUCACUGGACUGCAACUGACACUGAGGCUCGAAAGUGUGGGUAUCAAACAGGAUUAGAUACCCGAGUAGUC
rnacentral:rRNA from 1 species